rnacentral:misc_RNA from 1 species
CGAAUUGGUGGCAGUAAAAGAAGAAACAGCUAAUUCGAGGUCCCAACCGUGAGCGGCAAGGAUUUCGGUGCAGAUUUCGGGAUCUUCUAAGCCUGUAAUCGCUUGGAAAUAGGCUAAUUUAUCAGCAAUAUCAACCAUAUCCGGCAAGGACAUAAAUGAAUGGAAGAAUUUUGUGGGUCUGUUUGAUUCGUCUCCUUCUUGAUUCUUCAGAGAUUGAUCGGACUCCAAUCUUCACCUCUCGAUCGAUCAAUCGACAUAAAUCAUCACUGAAUUGAAUUGCUUUCGGAAUUUUGGGAAAUAGAUAGAAUAGAAACAGGAAUCGAAGCGAUCGAUUUUCAUCUGACCAUAAUGCCCUUGCCGGUUCUUUCAAUUUACCAAAUUUUGCCAUUCUCUG